rnacentral:tRNA from 1 species
GAGGGUAUAGCUCAGUGGUAGAGUGCAUAUCUAGCAUGCAUAAGGUCUUGGGUUCGAUACUCAGUGCCUCCA